UACGUAGGUGGCAAGCGUUGUCCGGAUUUACUGGGCGUAAAGAGCGCGCAGGCGGUCGUUCAAGUCGCGUGUGAAAGCCCCCCGGCUCAACUGGGGAGGGUCACGCGAUACUGAUCGACUCGAAGGCAGGAGAGGGUAGUGGAAUUCCCGGUGUAGUGGUGAAAUGCGUAGAUAUCGGGAGGAACACCUGCGGUGUAGACGGCUUACGUGGACCAUAACUGACGCUGAGGCACGAAAGCGUGGGUAGCAAACAGG
rnacentral:rRNA from 1 species